rnacentral:rRNA from 1 species
UACGUAGGGUGCAAGCGUUAAUCGGAAUUACUGGGCGUAAAGCGUGCGCAGGCGGCUUUGCAAGACAGAUGUGAAAUCCCCGGGCUCAACCUGGGAACUGCAUUUGUGACUGCAAAGCUAGAGUACGGCAGAGGGGGAUGGAAUUCCGCGUGUAGCAGUGAAAUGCGUAGAUAUGCGGAGGAACACCGAUGGCGAAGGCAAUCCCCUGGGCCUGUACUGACGCUCAUGCACGAAAGCGUGGGGAGCAAACAGG